rnacentral:misc_RNA from 1 species
CUUUUUACAUUUUUAGCUAUCUGAAAUAUUACACAGUGUUUGAUGUUGUUAUUCGUUUUGUUUGAAUUAUUCAUAACGCAAAAAUAUAUUUGGCUUUUUUUAUUAACAACCUUUUCAUUUUGAUGUGGUGGUUACUUUAGUAACAAUUAUGAUUAUUAUUGUUAAAUUUUUUUUUUAAUUAUUUCAAAUGCUACAAUUUUGCUACAAUACCAAAAUGUAUAAUACAAUAUUGCUACAAUACUAAAAUGUAUAAAUAAAUAUUUACAUGGCCGGGAUAAAAAAAAGACAACAGUAGUCUUAUCACUAUGCCAGAACUAUGCCAAGACUAAGCUAAGAUCCAGUAGUAAAAAUAUUCUAAAAGAUCCUGCAAUGCGAACGAUUUUAGAGCAGAUGCAGGAGAAUCCUCAAGCAGCUCAAGAGUGCCCCAAGAAGUCCUAACGGUCUUGUUACAGACACAGCAGAGGAUCAUUGAACUGGAAAGUUCACUCUGAAACAACACAUAGGGCUGUAAAUCCUGGCUCAUGUUUGUGAACGGCUCGGUGAUCCGCUCAACAAGAGCUCGUUCAUGUUCGGCUCGAAUGGUAAACGACCCGGGUUUCAACAAAAAAUUAGCCUCGUUUAUUAAACGAGCCGAGCUUGAACAUCAUAGGCUCGUUCAUAUAGGCUCGAUUA